UACGGAGGGCGCUAGCGUUGUUCGGAAUUACUGGGCGUAAAGCGCGCGUAGGCGGCUUUGUAAGUUAGAGGUGAAAGCCCGGGGCUCAACCCCGGAAUUGCCUUUAAGACUGCAUCGCUUGAAUCCGGGAGAGGUGAGUGGAAUUCCGAGUGUAGAGGUGAAAUUCGUAGAUAUUCGGAAGAACACCAGUGGCGAAGGCGGCUCACUGGACCGGCAUUGACGCUGAGGUGCGAAAGCGUGCGGAGCAAACAGG
rnacentral:rRNA from 1 species